rnacentral:misc_RNA from 1 species
UACACAUAUGUAUAUUUGAAAAUGAAUAAUUGAUGAAUAUUUUUGUUAUUUUUCAGAGGUUUUUGAAAUAAAGGUUCGAUGUUUUGUUUUUUAAACAGGUAUAUUUUACAUUAUGUACCUGGAAUUUUGUGUUAUUUGUUGUCGUGUCGUUUUAUCCCAACAUUGUAAAUGUUCCUGUGUCCAACAUUUAUUGAGUUUAUUAUAUGUACACCGAUAAGUGCAAUACAUUUUUAAUUAUUUUAUUUUUUCUUGAGAACUGAUAAAAUGUUCAAAUAUUAAAAGUAAACAGUUGUUGUGUUGUGCUUACCAAACUUGAUACUAUUGUGACAAUUGUUAUUAAUUUGAUUUGAACAUAUUUUAUUAUGCAAAUAUAUAUUCACAUAAAUGGAUUAGGCAGCAGGCAAUGCCUAUGUAAACCUUCUCCAUAAGUUGCAAGGUAAUACAUAUAAAGUGAAGAUAUAAAUGAAAAAUUAGAAACACUGU